UGGGAUGAUACUAGUAUCACGAUACCUGUUAGUAUUGUGGCAAGGGAACAAAACACAAAGCAGAUUUAACUUCUUUAGUAAAACUUAAUGUUGGAAACGAACAUCACUAUGUUAUCAUCCAGAGUCACAUGUAGUUAUUUUCCAGGCUAUAUCACAACAUAUGUUCCAUACAGCAGGUUUAGUACCAGGCUAUAUCACAACAUAUGUUCCAUACAGCAGGUUUAGUACCAGGCUAUAUCACAACAUAUGUUCCAUACAGCAGGUUUAGUACCAGGCUAUAUCACAACAUAUGUUCCAUACAGCAGGUUUAGUACCAGGCUAUAUCACAACAUAUGUUCCAUACAGCAGGUUUAGUACCAGGCUAUAUCACAACAUAUGGUCCAUACAGCAGGUUUAGUACCAGGCUAUAUCACAACAUAUGUUCCAUACAGCAGGUUUAGGACCAGGCUAUAUCACAACAUAUGUUCCAUACAGCAGAUUUAGUACCAGGCUAUAUCACAACAUAUGUUCCAUACAGCAGGUUUAGGACCAGGCUAUAUCACAACAUAUGUUCCAUACAGCAGAUUUAGUACCAGGCUAUAUCACAACAUAUGUUCCA